rnacentral:pre_miRNA from 1 species
AACAUUCAUUGCUGUCGGUGUGUUGUGUAUUUCAAAAAAACUCACUGAACAAUGAGUGCAA